rnacentral:rRNA from 1 species
UAAUACGUAGGGUGCGAGCGUUAAUCGGAAUUACUGGGCGUAAAGCGUGCGCAGGCGGCUUUGCAAGACAGAUGUGAAAUCCCCGGGCUCAACCUGGGAACUGCAUUUGUGACUGCAAGGCUAGAGUACGGCAGAGGGGGAUGGAAUUCCGCGUGUAGCAGUGAAAUGCGUAGAUAUGCGGAGGAACACCAAUGGCGAAGGCAAUCCCCUGGGCCUGUACUGACGCUCAUGCACGAAAGCGUGGGGAGCAAACAGG